rnacentral:rRNA from 1 species
UACGUAGGGGGCGAGCGUUGUCCGGAUUCAUUGGGCGUAAAGCGCGCGCAGGCGGCUUCGUAAGUCGGCCGUGAAAUCUCCAGGCUCAACUUGGAGGGGUCGGGCGAGACUGCGGAGCUGGAGGCAGGUAGAGGGCGGUGGAAUUCCGGGUGUAGUGGUGGAAUGCGUAGAGAUCCGGAGGAACACCAGUGGCGAAGGCGGCCGCCUGGGCCUGACCUGACGCUGAGGCGCGAAAGCGUGGGGAGCGAUCCGG